UUUAUGGGGUGCCUGUUUGGGGUUUGAUCAGCAUUCUGGAUUAACAUGAAUUAUUACUGAAUUUGUAGUAUUUGCUUAGCUCAUUCCAAGAUUUUCUUCCUCCUCCCCUAGUGACUAUUUCUUCACCAAGCCUCCAGGGCCGUAAAGCCAGCCUUUCCCCUGCUGUGCAUGGGUGUGUACAGGUGUGUAACCCAGGGACUCUGAUCUUCUCAGAGAACAUCUCCCCACCCCAGACAUCUGAAGAGCUCUCAUUCUGUCACUGGGGAAGCAACGAAUGCACUCUGACAUACACAAAAUAUAUGAAUAAGGAACCUAAGAUAUCAAGGUUUCCUCAUUUACAGAAGGUGCUUGGUAAAUAAGACAGGUCAAACCCUUUGGCCCAAUUCCAGUUUUAGGGGCUUAUGAGACAAAAGAACUAAGGUAAUAUGCAUUAUAACAUUUGCUGCCACAUUGUUUCGUGUUAAUGACAUACUUUUUAAAAACUUACAGAGAUUAGUCCAUCAAUACAAGACUGGAUAAAUCCUACAAUAAUACACUGAUAAAAUCAGGCUGCCAUGAAAAGUACACUUAUUAAUAUCGAAAGAGGUUUACAAAAUAAAGCUGAAUUUUAGAAACCAAAUUAUUAAACAAUGCAAAAGCUACAGUGCAUUUAUAUGAAAUAUAUUUGGCAUAGACAGAAAAAUAGCUAGAAAGAAAAAUCAACAUGUUACCAGUGAUUUUCUCCUAUUGGUAGAAUUUAGAGUGACACGUUUUUCAGAAUUGAAUUUUUAAGAUAUAGUUUCAAGAACAAUAAAAUUAUUCUAUUUUGAAUUCUUCCUCAAAACAGUCCUACUACCCUCCUGCCGUUUUUCCAUUCUCCUGUCCUUUUUGACAUCUUUUCAAAAGAAAACUCAAACCCAUGUUCAUAGCAGAGUUAUUCACAAUAGGGAGAAGGUGGGAGUAACCUGAGUGUCAAUCAACAGAUGAAUGGAUAAACCCAGUGGGGAAUACAUUAUAUACACUGUGGAAUAUUACUUAGCUCUAAAAAGGAAAUAAGUCUUAACACACACUACCAGGUGGAUAAACCUUGAGGAUGUCACACUAAUGCAAUAAGCCAGUAUCAGAUGGACAAAUACCCUCUAAUUGAUAUAUGAGGACUCAGAGUCCCAAAGACAGGAAGUAGAAUGGAGGUUGCCAGUAACUGGGGUGGGGGGUCAUUGUUUAAAGGUACAGAAUUUCAGUUUUGCAAGAUAAAAGGAGAGAGAGAAGAGGUGGUGACAGUUACACAGCGUGAGUGUCCUCUUCAGGCCAUUGACGUGUACUCUUAAAAUGGUUAAAAUGGUAACUUUUAUGUGGAUUUCACGAAAUUAAAAAAUUUCAGCAAAAUAAGAAGAACGCUUGAGUGUGUAACUGUACAUCUCAUAGGAGGCCCCGGGAGCUCCCCAGUUGGGGGGCGGCGGGGGGGAGAAGAUGUAACCCACCUUCUGCAUCUCAGAGGAAACGUUCUGUGGCUGCUUCUCAGGUCCCAGAGGACACAGGCACAGCAAGAGCUUUGCAAGCCGUGUGAAGAGAGGAAAAACAACAGAGAGCAAGGAAGGAGGCAAAAAUCAGCCCAGGGAAGUGAAAGGCGAUGAGAAUUCAUCCACCCAGGAUCACUGCCAUGUGCUUUCGUCCACAGUCAGUUGGCGCUUCCUGUCGGCCUGGGAAAGAGAUAAAGUAAGAGCAAACUGAAGAAAGAUUUGGAGUUGAGUCAAACUGGAGUCACUACCAUAGUAUCUCAGUGUUGUGAAGAUAUGAGAGAACUCAGUGGCCUGUACAGCUCCACGAUUUCCCUACAGACCUUAGCUUUUGCUCAUAGCAGGUUCUAGGCAAGACCAGAUGUGUGAGAGCCAUUACAGAACAAACAGGAACAUUCAGAAUUCAGCUUAAAGUAGCAAUGUGGAUGUGGUUUCCAGAAGAGAGACGGAGAGAAGGAUAUUCUGACUGCAGAAAAGGAAGAGAACUGGCAGGAAGCAGGGUGUGUCCAGCAGAGCAACUGGCUCAAUCCAGCCGGAAUGCAGUAUAUUUACGGGACUCGGUGAGAGAAGCGUCAGGAAAGGCAGGAAAAACAGGCUCAGGCUGCAGCUGACCUACCAGUGGGCUCAAGCAGAGUGAGCUCAGCCGGGAGCACGGAGGUUGGUGCCUCAUCAGUUGCUUGGUACCAUGUUUACCAAGCAGGGGUGGGAGAAACGUGAUUAGCCACCUGGAGCCAGAACUUCAUAGCUCCCAGCCAAGUCCUGCAAGAGAAGUGCUGGCUCUUCAAGCUGGGGGAGGAUCCAUCCCAUAAGGCCUCUCUUGUGGAGACAAAGCCCCAGGCUACUGGUUUCUUCUGAUCAGAAAACCAUUGCCCCUCAACCUAACCCCAUGCUCACCAAUCACUUUUACAGUGAUUCUUCAUUUCUGUGAAACAAAACCCAAACUCCAUAGCAAGCCGAUGAGGCCAUGUGCACAGGUCUACACCACCCCCUGUCCGCUUCCGCGUCUUUUCAUCUCACCUGUAGGGUAGGGAACCAUUGAAGAGAUGAAGGCGUCGGAACCUUGCAGUUUACCUGGCCUCCAAGUUCUGGGCUGAGCUAUUCCAGCUGAGAGGAGGCUAACCUGGGAGCCACAGUGCACAGGGCCACAGACAGUGCUGGAAGCAGAUCAGAAUUAAUCCGGCCAACACGUCCAGCCACAGGGCUGCACAGAGACAGGGCCCAAAUACAGAGCCAGAGUUAUGCAGGCAGACAGGCUUAUGUGAUGUCACACGUGUCAGGUGGGUCCUGGAGAAAUUCCAAGGUUCCGGAACACUGUCCCAAGGACAAUGAGCUUAUCAAUCAGCUCAGAGGGAUGGUGGGAAUUGCCAGUGGAUUCAUGUCUGUGACGUCAUCUAGGGUACAGGGAAAACCUAUUGCAGAAAGCGAUUCUUUUCGAGAUGGUCCCCUCCCUGCCACACACAUCUUUCCUCACCUGCUUGUAGAGUGUUCCUUCCACCUUUCCAUUCCAUACUUCAAUGUAACAUUUUUGAAGUUUUCUUUGCCUGACUUUCUCUGGAAUAAAGAGAUUUUCCUUCCUAAGUUUACAAAGUCCUUCAUAUAUAAUCGUAUACCCAAAGUGACCACCUUUGCCAAGCUAGAAAUUGGUGCAUAUGUGUUGUCAAGUACGGGGGAGAUUGCUUAGGAAAAGCAGCUCCAUGAGCUACCAUAAAGCGUGUAUCAUGACAUAUGCUAUCUUGAUGUGACAGGUAAUCUUGAUCGUCAACUUGAUCGGAUUGAGAAUGCCUAGGAAAUUAGUAAAUCAUACUUCUGGGUGUGUCUGUGACAGUGUUUCUAGAGAUGAUUGGCACCAUGGGAUAGCCAUGAUGCUGGGUGGCACCAUCAUGUAGGAUGGGAGCCCGGAUGGAACAAAAGUAGCAGCAGGAACUCCAUUCACUGAGGCUCCUGCUCUCUGCUUCCUAGUGCCGUGAGGUGAGCAGCUAUGACGGUUCUGCCUCAGCGAUGGAGUUGCCCGACUGUGAAACGUAACUCGAGGUGAAAGAAGUCUUUCCGCCUUUGGAUUGUUGUUCGGGUAUUUAGUCACAGUGACAGAAAGCUGACAAACAUGUUUGCUUUCACGUCUCUCUCCCUGAUUCGGUUGCAAGCUUCUAGAGAACGGGAACCACGUCUUAGCCCCUUUGUAGCUGCUCCUUCAUCAGCAACAAGCUCAGCCUGGACACCUCUUGGCUUCCCAGAUGAUAAAUAUUUAAGGAAAAGUAACUAUCAGGUCUUUUCAACAGAAAUAAACAUAGAU